UGGCUUUCGGGAGCAGGGCGGACCCGAGUGGAACCCCCAGGAGGAAGUUAAGAGCGCGAGGCGGCGGGCGUGCAGCUGGAAUUGCGCAUUUUGCAGGGCGUAGGAGCGAUUACUAUCGCGAGUGGCUCUCUGCGGCUGGCUACGAUGGAAGAGCGUGUAGGAAAGCUGAAAGAAAUGGCAAACAAAGUCGUGACGCUGAUGCGGGGCAUGGCCGCUUUGAAAGAGGACUUGCAAGCCGAACUCGGCGAAGCCCAUAGGUUUCCUGAUGGUGAAGGUCAAGGCAGCUCUGCAAAGGUACCUAGCGGAGCUGCACAGCCGUGUCAGCCUGAAUUACCACAUCCUCCAUUCCAGUACCUGCAGGCAGCUUCUCCUUCAAAACAGGCAGUGCAUCUGGGCGGCAGCAGAGAGGGGUAUAUGCUUGAUGCUAUCCUGAAGAACCAAGAAAUUCUCCAGAUAAUCCUGACAAACCAAGACACAAUGAAGGGUCUUGUGGGUGAAUUGCAAAAGUCCGUUUCAACCAUUGAGGAACGAAUUCAAGCCAUGGAACAAGAGAUGAGCAUCCUUGCUCAGUUCACCCAAGAGCUCAACCAAGUGGGGGAUGAAGCAAACUGGAGUUGAAAGGUCUGCUCCACAGCUGUUCUCCAGGUUGCCAUCAAAGUGUGUCUGACUCCUUGAGGUUGCAACUUAGAAAUAAUAGAUGGAAGGAAGUAACUGCAAUAGAAAAGUAAACAAAACAAAACAAAACAAAAAAAAAACCCAACCCUGCAUCAAUCUGAAAUAUUUUUUACCUUGGCAGAUAUAAAGAGCCAUGUUCCCCAGAAAAGCAGAAGAACUCAGGUUUUCUUCUAGCAUCUGUGCCUUUCUUUUCUUCUGGAUGAAUUUGGUUACUUCUAAAAUACCAUCUGCCUUGAUUUAACCUAUUCAAAAAAGCAGCUUGAGCGCAGGUCAUCUGAAGAAGGCUGGAAUAUUUCCAACAAGGAACAUGCCACAGGCUUUCUAAACUUCUCUUUCUGGUUGAGGUUUCAACAGUAUCCCUUUCUAAAGAUGAAUAUGUUUGUCUACCUCUGUUUUGUUAAUUGCUACAUGGAAAAUUUUCUAGUGGGGACAUUUUUACCUAAGAAUUUACCUAUUUUUAUCUGGGCUUGAAUUGAAUCUGAGAGGUCAGAUCCAGACUUGAUGCAGGUUUAUUGAAAUCAGUGGGGCUUGAUUUAACCAUGUUUAAGUGGUUUCAUUGAUUUCACUGGUCUUCUCUAAGUGUAGCUUAAUCUGGAUACAACUUGGGAUCCAUAGCUACUAGCUGCUCCUACAGUCAGUUGUGUUCCCUUUUCAACCACACUAGAUAAACCGCUUAAGUUAAUGAUUUUAGUGGUGGUUUAGGGCAAAUGUUGCCUUGCUCAGAUCUCAGACUAUAUGAAACAGGGCCUCUCCUUGGAGGUUUCAAAUCCAAAUGCUGGAUUAUAGUGCAAUAAUAUUUAGCAUGGUUAACACAGAUGUCCUUUUCUUGUACCAUGUUUGCACUUUUGCUAAGCUAAUGGUGGGAGGUAGGAAACACACGUGCUCACACAAGUGGAGGGCUGAACUUGUCCUGUUCUUGACACCUGGCUCAGUUUUUCUGAUUCAGUGGCACACCAUGUCCCUCACUGUAUAAUGCCAGCCCAUGAAUAACAGCAGUAGUUUCUUGGAUAAUUUAAACUGUGUGUUGGAAGCAACUCCCAUAAUUCACAGCUAACAUGGCCAAGGCUGGCGCGGAGAGAGUUUCACCACCACAUCUGGCUAGGGAAGACUGCUCUAGUUGAGCCUUCCUGCUUCUGUGCUAGUCUGAUUUCUUGGAGAGUCUGCCUGUGGAAAAGGAUAAACUGGUCUGCCUGUAUUUAUUGCUCAAGGCAUAUGCUCUUGUGUAUCAAAAAUAAACUUCUGAUAAGUGGAAACAGCUGCUUCUGUCUUUGUAGCACAUUGAAAGGCAUCUUUCUAGGCCACCCCAAG
ensembl:lncRNA